GAUGAACGCUGGCGGCGUGCCUAAUACAUGCAAGUCGAGCGAACGGACGAGAAGCUUGCUUCUCUGAUGUUAGCGGCGGACGGGUGAGUAACACGUGGAUAACCUACCUAUAAGACUGGGAUAACUUCGGGAAACCGGAGCUAAUACCGGAUAAUAUUUUGAACCGCAUGGUUCAAAAGUGAAAGACGGUCUUGCUGUCACUUAUAGAUGGAUCCGCGCUGCAUUAGCUAGUUGGUAAGGUAACGGCUUACCAAGGCAACGAUGCAUAGCCGACCUGAGAGGGUGAUCGGCCACACUGGAACUGAGACACGGUCCGGACUCCUACGGGAGGCAGCAGUAGGGAAUCUUCCGCAAUGGGCGAAAGCCUGACGGAGCAACGCCGCGUGAGUGAUGAAGGUCUUCGGAUCGUAAAACUCUGUUAUUGGGGAAGAACAUAUGUGUAAGUAACUGUGCACAUCUUGACGGUACCUAAUCAGAAAGCCACGGCUAACUACGUG
rnacentral:rRNA from 1 species